AAGGCGCGCGAUACAGGGUGACAGCCCCGUACACAAAAGCGUAUGUGCUGUGAGCUCGAUGAGUAGGGCGGGACACGUGGUAUCCUGUCUGAAUAUGGGGGGACCAUCCUCCAAGGCUAAAUACUCCUGACUGACCGAUAGUGAACCAGUACCGUGAGGGAAAGGCGAAAAGAACCCCGGCGAGGGGAGUGAAAAAGAACCUGAAACCGUGUACGUACAAGCAGUGGGAGCCCCACCACUAAGCCAGUGGUGAACUCCACAUACGCAUCCUUUGCUGAGGAUACGGUUAACGGAGCGAAAGCGACGUUCAACCGCAAAAGAAGCAGAGGGGGCUUAGUGGUGGGGUGACUGCGUACCUUUUGUAUAAUGGGUCAGCGACUUAUAUUCUGUAGCAAGGUUAACCGAAUAGGGGAGCCGGAGGGAAACCGAGUCUUAACCGGGCGUUAAGUUGCAGGGUAUAGACCCGAAACCCGGUGAUCUAGCCAUGGGCAGGUUGAAGGUUGGGUAACACUAACUGGAGGACCGAACCGACUAAUGUUGAAAAAUUAGCGGAUGACCUGUGGCUGGGGGUGAAAGGCCAAUCAAACCGGGAGAUAGCUGGUUCUCCCCGAAAGCUAUUUAGGUAGCGCCUCGUGAAUUCAUCUCCGGGGGUAGAGCACUGUUUCGGCUAGGGGGCCAUCCCGGCUUACCAACCCGAUGCAAACUGCGAAUACCGGAGAAUGUUAUCACGGGAGACACACGGCGGGUGCUAACGUCCGUCGUGAAGAGGGAAACAACCCAGACCGCCAGCUAAGGUCCCAAAGUCAUGGUUAAGUGGGAAACGAUGUGGGAAGGCCCAGACAGCCAGGAUGUUGGCUUAGAAGCAGCCAUCAUUUAAAGAAAGCGUAAUAGCUCACUGGUCGAGUCGGCCUGCGCGGAAGAUGUAACGGGGCUAAACCAUGCACCGAAGCUGCGGCAGCGACGCUUAUGCGUUGUUGGGUAGGGGAGCGUUCUGUAAGCCUG
rnacentral:rRNA from 1 species